CACUCAACCUACUGAGCCACACCAUCCAGGGCUGUCAGGUGCCUCGGCCAUUGUCAGCCACUGUCUGUUUCGCCGCCAGUGCCAGCACCAUGAACCUGCUGCUGUCUUUCUUGAUCCUCCCUUGACUUCUCUGUCGCUUUUCCAGCAUUGGAGUAUCUUAGCAAUAUACAUGCUAUCUGCCUGAAGAACGUUUCAUAGAGGAAGGGAGAGGGAUAGAAAGUUAGAA